rnacentral:rRNA from 1 species
UCUACGGGUGGCAGCAGUGGGGGAUAUUGCACAAUGGGGGGAACCCUGAUGCAGCGACGCCGCGUGUGGGAAGACGGUCCUCUGGAUUGUAAACCACUGUCCCCAGGGACGAAAAUGACGGUACCUGGGGAGGAAGCUCCGGCUAACUCCGUGCCAGCAGCCGCGGUAAUACGUAGGGAGCGAGCGUUGUCCGGAAUUACUGGGGGUAAAGGGAGCGUAGGCGGCGAUGCAAGUUGGGUGUCAAAACUACCGGCUAAACUGGUAGUCGCACUCAAAACUGCAGCUCUUGAGUGAAGUAGAGGCAGGCGGAAUUCCUAGUGUAGCGGUGAAAUGCGUAGAUAUUAGGAGGAACACCAGUGGCGAAGGCGGCCUGCUGGGCUUUUACUGACGCUGAGGCUCGAAAGUGUGGGGAGCAAACAGGAUUAGAUACCCCAGUAGUC